UACAGGGGGGCAAGCGUUGUUCGGAAUUACUGGGCGUAAAGGGCUCGUAGGUGGCCGACUAAGUCAGACGUGAAAUCCCUCAGCUAACUGGGAACUGCGUCUGAUACUGGAUGGCUUGAGUUUGGGAGAGGGAUGCGGAAUUCCAGGUGUAGCGGUGAAAUGCGUAGAUAUCUGGAGGAACACCGGUGGCGAAGGCGGCAUCCGUGGACCAACACGUGACACUGA
rnacentral:rRNA from 1 species